rfam:Ornithorhynchus anatinus chromosome 7, whole genome shotgun sequence.
CUCCUCUCAGGAUGGUACCUGGAGAGUUUCCAGUACUCUACCAGUUUCAGCUCUGGGAGGAAGAGUCAAGCAGAGGUCCACCCACUCCAUUCCUAGCUCAGGCAGUGGCUAGUAUGUGGAAGGCAAUCUGCUACAAGU